CUGGUUGAUCCUGCCAGUAAUCAUACGCUCGUCUCAAAGAUUAAGCCAUGCAAGUCUAAGUAUAAGCAACUAUACAGUGAAACUGCGAAUGGCUCAUUAUAUCAGUUAUCGUUUCAUUGAUGUAAUUUACUACAUGGAUAACCGUAGUAAUUCUAGAGCUAAUACAUGCCCAAAAUUCUCUCGCAAGGGAGAAGCAUUUAUUAGACCAAAACCAACCCGCAAGGUUCGGUGAUUCAUAAUAACUAGUAGAUCGCAGUGGAGCAAUCCGGCGAUGAAUCAUUCAAGUUUCUGCCCUAUCAGCUUUCGAUGGUAGUGUAUUGGACUACCAUGGCGGUAACGGGUAACGAAGAAUUUGGGUUCGAUUUCGGAGAGGGAGCCUGAGAUACGGCUACCACAUCCAAGGAAGGCAGCAGGCGCGUAAGUUACCCAACCCUGACACAGGGAGGUAGUGACAAGAAAUAACGAUGCGUGGCCUUUGGCUUCGCAAUUGUGCUGAGUGCAAUCUAAAUCCCUCAGCGAAUCCAUUGGAGGGCAAGUCUGAUGCCAGCAGCCGCGGUAACUUCAGCUCCAAUAGCGUAUAUUAACAUUGUUGCAUUUAAAAAGCUCGUAGUUGAAUUUGUGCAUCAAACAGGAUGUCGUUAAGAGUCGUGUGAGUUCAGUCGGUGGGUCUGUGGCAACACGGGUCUGUCGAUUUCUCCUCGGCCCUUGUACGUCUUGUAUGGGUGCAACCUUGCAUGGUUUUAUCUGGUAUUCAUUUACUGGUUAAAGUUAUGCAUCUUUUACUGUGAGAAAAUUAGAGUGUUUAAAGCAGGCAUGACUCGCUUGAAUACAUUAGCAUGGAAUAAUAAGAUAGGACUAUUUGUACUAUUUUGUUGGUUGCGUACAAAAGUAAUGAUUAAUAGGGACAGUUGGGGGUAUUCAUAUUUCAUAGUCAGAGGUGAAAUUCUGGGAUUUAUGAAAGAUGAACAAGUGCGAAAGCAUUUACCAAGGAUGUUUUCAUUAAUCAAGAACGAAAGUUAGGGGAUCAAAGAGGCUUAGAUACCCUCGUAGUCUUAACUAUAAACGAUAACACCUAGGGAUUGGUUCGUAAGCUAUAGUUACGUAUCAGCACCUUAUGGGAAACCAAAGGGUUUGGCUUAUGGGGGGAGUACGGUCGCAAGGCCGAAACUUAAAGGAAUUGACGGAAGGGCACACCAGAUAUGGGUUAUGCGGCUUAAUUUGACUCAACACGGGGAAACUUACCAGGUCCAGACACAGUUAGGAUUGACAGAUUGAAGCUCUUUCUUGAUUCUGUGGGUGGUGGUGCAUGGCCGUUCUUAGUUGGUGGAGUGAUUUGUCUGGUUAAUUCCGAUAACGAACGAGACCUCCGCCUGCUAAAUAGUUUCGUCAUAUUCGUAUGACGUAAUCCUUUUUUAAACUUCUUAGAGGGACACUGGAUGUAGAUUCCAGGGAAGUUGGAGGCAAUAACAGGUCUGUGAUGCCCUUAGAUGUUCUGGGCCGCACGUGUGACACACUGAUAUAUUCAACAAGUUGAUCUGCGGAGUCGCGCAAGCGGUUCCGCAUUCCUUGACUGAGAAGUCUGGGUAAUCUUUUGAAGAUAUAUCGUGUUUGGGAUUGAUGCUUGUAAUUAUUCAUCAUGAACGAGGAACACCUAGUAAGUGCAGGUCAUCAGCCUGCGCUGAAUACGUCCCUGCCCUUUGUACACACCGCCCGUCGCACCUACCGAUUGGAUGGUCCGGUGAAAACUAUGGAGGACUUGACGAGUCAAAUCGUCGAGUCCGAAGUUGUUUAAAUCUUAUCAUCUAGAGGAAGGUGAAGUCGUAACAAGGUUUCUGUAGGUGAACCUGCAGAAGGAUCA
rnacentral:rRNA from 1 species